rnacentral:lncRNA from 1 species
AGGUAGGGGAUUUUAAAUUAUUUUCCAUUUCAGAGCCAUACAUCAUCUUCUUACAAUUGUAUGUUAAUAUGACAGAAGUAGAGUAGUUGAAUUUUGCUUAUUUAGAGAAUGAUUCCAUAGCAACUUAUUUUUAUUUUCUGAAAAAUAGCCCAAAGAUAUUCUAUUUUUGGUUCCCCUUAAGGAAAUCAGAUUUAGAAAUGAAAAAUUCGGUUUGAAAAUUUCUUAGCUUUCAUUCAGUUCCAUGUAUUUUCUUCUGUUUGUCUCUUUUAUCAUUUAAUUUCCCUUACUGCAUUCUACCUCCUUUCUCUUCUCUCUUGCCCCAUUCUCUAUGGUCAUAUUUUCUUAUUGAAAUGCAUAGCUUCCUUUCUAAGCAAGAAUAUUCCAUAAUCCAUAUCAUAUUCAA